AUGGCUCGGGUAAGGCUGGGGAUGAGCUGUGCUGGUGCUGCUGGCUUGGGUAGCACAGGUCUGGCCAGCCCAUUGUGGGACGAUGUCUGCGUGGAGCCAUGGAAAGGCAGCAGGCGGCUGCGGCAGCGAGGGCACCAAGUCCUUAAGGCUGCUGAUAACACUGGAAGCCCACACAGAAGUGACUGCUUGAUGUGCUCAUCAGUGGAGGAGACAAAACUUCCUUUGAACUCGAGAGCAGAGGAGAGCACCCAGUUAUCUGUGACCGAAUGCCUGGAAACACGCGUUGUUGUGUCUGCUGCCGUAACACGCGGGCUGUCAGCACGGAGCCUGUGAGUGCUGGGCAGGCAGCAGGGAAGCCAGAGCGGUGCAGGGCUCAACCCAGAGGUUAUCCAAGUCAUCAGGAAGCAUCACGUUUGCUCCUGCAGCCUUCGGCGAAGACACAGCUCCUUUCACUGUAACCACAUCUGAGCUCGUGCAACAGGCAUUACUUAAUAACCCCGAGUAGAGAAACAGAAGAAAUUUUCUUUGAAAGUAUGUGCCAAUCUCCCAAAUAGUAUUUCCAGCAAAAAGGCCCCUUAGCUGCUGCUGCUGCUGCAGACUGUAAAGGAAAAUGAGGCCUUCCUCACCUCUCCAGAGCCACAGUGCAACUAGUGCCAGGAAAUGGCUCUGAAAUUGAGGCUCAGGCUUUCGCCACUGCUUGUUCCACCUAUAAAGAAUGUCUGCAUGUCGGUGAGCUCUGAACUGGUGUUGUAAGCAUCUUCCAGACGGGGU
rnacentral:lncRNA from 1 species